rnacentral:rRNA from 1 species
AGAGUUUGAUCCUGGCUCAGGACGAACGCUGGCGGCGUGCUUAACACAUGCAAGUCGAGCGGAAAGGCCCUUCGGGGUACUCGAGCGGCGAACGGGUGAGUAACGCGUGAGGAACCUGCCCCGGACUUUGGGAUAACCCUCGGAAACGGGGGCUAAUACCGAAUACGACACGAUCUCGCAUGGGAUUGUGUGGAAAGUUUUUCGGUCUGGGAUGGUCUCGCGGCCUAUCAGCUUGUUGGUGGGGUAAUGGCCUACCAAGGCGACGACGGGUAGCCGGCCUGAGAGGGCGACCGGCCACACUGGGACUGAGACACGGCCCAGACUCCUACGGGAGGCAGCAGUGGGGAAUAUUGCACAAUGGGCGGAAGCCUGAUGCAGCGACGCCGCGUGAGGGAUGACGGCCUUCGGGUUGUAAACCUCUUUCAGCAGGGACGAAGCGCAAGUGACGGUACCUGCAGAAGAAGCGCCGGCCAACUACGUGCCAGCAGCCGCGGUAAGACGUAGGGCGCGAGCGUUGUCCGGAUUUAUUGGGCGUAAAGAGCUCGUAGGCGGCUUGUCGCGUCGAAUGUGAAAUCUCGGGGCUCAACUCCGAGCUUGCAUUCGAUACGGGCGGACUAGAGUUCGGUAGGGGAGACUGGAAUUCCUGGUGUAGCGGUGAAAUGCGCAGAUAUCAGGAGGAACACCGGUGGCGAAGGCGGGUCUCUGGGCCGAUACUGACGCUGAGGAGCGAAAGCGUGGGGAGCGAACAGGAUUAGAUACCCUAGUAGUCC